rnacentral:lncRNA from 1 species
UAGUGACUAGCAUUUGGUAGGUUACACCAAUCAAGAAUUUAAUCAGAUUCUCAUCUAAUUUAGAAUUCCCAAGGAGUGAUGCCAAUGGUUCCAAUAUGUAUUCUCCUUACACAUGCAGAGCUACAAGAACCUGUGAUUGGUAUGAUUUAAUUUAGUGCGAAAGGCCUUCUAUUUCUUCAAUGAAGAGAGAAAGAAGAGACAUGAGGGCAGGCAUGUAACCAUCAAGAAUUGUUUACAACAAGGUGGGAGCAGCCAUGUGCGGGGAAACAGUUACCGCAAGUAGCUGUUUGACUAGGCCUAAUAAUUACAGGUGGAGUAGCAUACAUGUUGGCAGAUAGGUGAUAGUGGGCACUCUGAUAUCAACAAGAGAAUAAUGGUUCACAAUUUCAUGAGCAAAGAAAAAUAUUAUACUAUGGAAAAUAUAUUGAUAAUAAGAAGUAGGGAAAAGGGGAAAACUUCGGAAGGGUAAGGUGUGAAUUGUAACCUUAGGGAUGAGAGUUUUGUUCUAGUUUC